GAAGCCAUUCCCUGGUGACAAACCAUCUAAGGGUAAUGAAAAGGGAGCACCUCAUGAACCUAAACCUCCUCAUAGACACUUAUUGAGUGUGGAAGUUGAGGGCACACAUAAACCUCCACAACACUCAGGUGGUAAACCUCCACGACAUUCAGGGGGUAAACCUCCACAUGUUGAAGGAUUCCCUGGUGACAAACCAUCCAAGGGUAAGGGAAAGGGGGCACCUCAUGAACCCAAACCUCCUCACAGACACCUAUUGAGUGUGGAAGUUGAGGGCACACAUAAACCUCCACAACAAUCAGGUGGUAAACCUCCACGACAUUCAGGGGGUAAACCUCCACAUGUUGAAGGAUUCCCUGGUGACAAACCAUCCAAGGGUAAGGGAAAGGGAGCACCUCAUGAACCCAAACCUCCUCAUAGACACCUAUUGAAUGUCGAAGUUGAGGACACACAUAAGCCUCCACAACACUCAGGGGGUAAACCUCCACAUGUUGAAGGAUUCCCCGACGGUAAGCCACCCAUGAAACCAUUCCCCGGUGACAAACCAUCCAAGGGUAAGGGAAAGGGAGUACCUCAUGAACCUAAACCUCCUCAUAGACACCUCUUAAGUGAGCCACACAAAUAUGUGAUACCACCCAAAGGUAAGGGAGAGAAGCCUCCCCAUGAGCAGAAACCACACCAUGGACACCACCCAGGGCACCAUCUGGGAAUAGAAAAUUAAAGCAUAAAUCAUCCUAAGGUUCCCAUCAACCUACAGUUAGAAGAUCAUCAUCAGCGUGUAUGGUAGGACUAUUUUACUAUAGGAAUAACAGUUGAUGUUGAUUUAUCCUUUUAUUAGUUGUGUAGCUAUCUAGUUACGUAUAUUUUGUUCCUGGCUUGGAGGUUGUGCCGUGCCUACCUCAUGACUAUGUUGUUUUAGAAAUUCCAGCCUCAUCUAUGGUUCGACAUUUUAUGAUAUGAACUCUAUAUAUUAACUAGUUUGGGAUCUUUUGCUUUCUAAGUUUAUUUCACCUAUUGAACUAUCUAAC
rnacentral:lncRNA from 1 species